rnacentral:rRNA from 1 species
UACGAAGGGGGCGAGCGUUGUUCGGAUUUACUGGGCGUAAAGGGCGCGCAGGCGGUCUUGAAAGUCAGGCGUGAAAGCCCCGGGCUUAACCUGGGAAUUGCGCUUGAUACUCUGAGACUGGAGUACGGGAGAGGAGAGUGGAAUUCCCAGUGUAGAGGUGAAAUUCGUAGAUAUUGGGAAGAACACCAGUGGCGAAGGCGGCGCUCUGGACCGAGACUGACGCUGAGGCGCGAAAGCGUGGGGAGCAAACAGG